rnacentral:rRNA from 1 species
AUGCAAGUCGAACGGAAAGGUCUCUUCGGAGACACUCGAGUGGCGAACGGGUGAGUAACACGUGGGCGAUCUGCCCUGCACUUCGGGAUAAGCCUGGGAAACUGGGUCUAAUACCGGAUAGGACCACGGGAUUCAUGUCCUGUGGUGGAAAGCUUUUGCGGUGUGGGAUGGGCCCGCGGCCUAUCAGCUUGUUGGUGGGGUAACGGCCUACCAAGGCGACGACGGGUAGCCGGCCUGAGAGGGUGUCCGGCCACACUGGGACUGAGAUACGGCCCAGACUCCUACGGGAGGCAGCAGUGGGGAAUAUUGCACAAUGGGCGCAAGCCUGAUGCAGCGACGCCGCGUGGGGGAUGACGGCCUUCGGGUUGUAAACCUCUUUCACUAUCGACGAAGGUUCGGGUUUUCUCGGAUUGACGGUAGAUGGAGAAGAAGCACCGGCCAACUACGUGCCAGCAGCCGCGGUAAUACGUAGGGUGCGAGCGUUGUCCGGAAUUACUGGGCGUAAAGAGCUCGUAGGUGGUUUGUCGCGUUGUUCGUGAAAUCUCACGGCUUAACUGUGAGCGUGCGGGCGAUACGGGCAGACUAGAGUACUGCAGGGGAGAUUGGAAUUCCUGGUGUAGCGGUGGAAUGCGCAGAUAUCAGGAGGAACACCGGUGGCGAAGGCGGGUCUCUGGGCAGUAACUGACGCUGAGGAGCGAAAGCGUGGGGAGCGAACAGGAUUAGAUACCCUGGUAGUCCACGCCGUAAACGGUGGGUACUAGGUGUGGGUUUCCUUCCUUGGGAUCCGUGCCGUAGCUAACGCAUUAAGUACCCCGCCUGGGGAGUACGGCCGCAAGGCUAAAACUCAAAGGAAUUGACGGGGGCCCGCACAAGCGGCGGAGCAUGUGGAUUAAUUCGAUGCAACGCGAAGAACCUUACCUGGGUUUGACAUGCACAGGACGCGU